rnacentral:rRNA from 1 species
UACGAAGGGGGCUAGCGUUGUUCGGAUUUACUGGGCGUAAAGCGCACGUAGGCGGAUUGGUCAGUUAGGGGUGAAAUCCCAGAGCUCAACUCUGGAACUGCCUUUAAUACUGCCAGUCUCGAGUCCGGAAGAGGUGAGUGGAACUCCUAGUGUAGAGGUGGAAUUCGUAGAUAUUAGGAAGAACACCAGUGGCGAAGGCGGCUCACUGGUCCGGAACUGACGCUGAGGUGCGAAAGCGUGGGGAGCAAACAGG